AGCAGCCGUGGUAAUUCCAGCUCCAAUAGCGUAUAUUAAAGUUGCUGCAGUUAAAAAGCUCGUAGUUGAACUUCGGGACCAUCAUGUCGGUCGUGCCUUGGUACGUACUGGCAUUGUUAGUUUCUACCUUCUGACGAACCAUGAUGACAUUUAUUUGGUGUUGUGGGAAAUCAGGACUGUUACUUUGAAAAAUUGAGUGUUUAAAGCAGGCUCACGCUUGAAUACAUUAGCAUGGAAUAAUGAAAUAGGACGUUUGAUUCUAUUUUGUUGGUUUCUAGGAUUGACGUAAUGAUUAAUAGGGAUAGUU
rnacentral:rRNA from 1 species